rnacentral:rRNA from 1 species
UACGUAGGUGGCAAGCGUUGUCCGGAUUUACUGGGCGUAAAGGGCUUGUAGGCGGUUUGUUAAGUCUGGUGUGAAAUCUCCCGGCUCAACCGGGAGGGGUCAUCGGAUACUGGCAGACUUGAGACGGGUAGAGGAAAGCAGAAUUCCCGGUGUAGCGGUGAAAUGCGUAGAUAUCGGGAGGAAUACCAGUGGCGAAGGCGGUUCUCUGGGCAUUACCUGACGCUGAGGAGCGAAAGCGUGGGGAGCAAACAGG